ACUUAUUUGUGAAAAAGACCAUCACUUUGAGCAGACUGGAUUGGCUGUAGUGAUACAGUCUUUCUCUCUCCCUGUCAGCAUUAGCUCUCUCUGCCUGGACUAGUAAUGUAUC